rnacentral:rRNA from 1 species
AUUGAACGCUGGCGGCAUGCCUUACACAUGCAAGUCGAACGGCAGCACGGGAGCAAUCCUGGUGGCGAGUGGCGAACGGGUGAGUAAUAUAUCGGAACGUGCCCGGUCGUGGGGAUAACGUAGCGAAAGCUACGCUAAUACCGCAUACGAUCUACGGAUGAAAGCGGGGGAUCGCAAGACCUCGCGCGAUUGGAGCGGCCGACAUCAGAUUAGGUAGUUGGUGAGGUAAAGGCUCACCAAGCCGACGAUCUGUAGCUGGUCUGAGAGGACGACCAGCCACACUGGGACUGAGACACGGCCCAGACUCCUACGGGAGGCAGCAGUGGGGAAUUUUGGACAAUGGGCGCAAGCCUGAUCCAGCAAUGCCGCGUGCAGGAUGAAGG